AUGGGACCGUUUUCCAUCCUGUGGGGCUGGGUGCUCAUGGCUACCGUGAGUACAGAUGCCACUGCAAGCCUGGUGGAGCAAAGGCCCCGCUGGGUCCUGGUAGCUCGUGGGCAGGCUGAAACCCUGCACUGCAUCCUGAGAGAUUCCCAGUACCCUUGGAUGAGCUGGUACCAACAGGAUCUCCAGGGGCAACUGCAGGUGCUGGCCACUCUGCGGAGCCCCGGGGACGAGGAGCUCGUAUCCCGUCCUGGAGCAGAUUACCGGGCCACGAGGGUCGACAGCACGGAGCUGAGGCUGCACGUGGCCAAUGUGACCCAGAGCAGAACCCUGUACUGCACCUGCAGUAAAGACACAGUGAGAAACUCCCCUUGGACAAGUGAAUACAAACCAUCCUGGGUUGCCAGCCACAGACCCAACCUCCUCCUCCUCUGA